GAUGAACGCUAGCGGCAGGCUUAAUACAUGCAAGUCGAGGGGCAGCACGAAUAGCAAUAUUUGGUGGCGACCGGCGCACGGGUGCGUAACACGUAUACAACCUACCUAUAACAGGGGGAUAGCCUUUCGAAAGAGAGAUUAAUACCCCGUAAUAAAUUGAGUGGCAUCACUUGAUUUUGAAAGCUACGGCGGUUAUAGAUGGGUAUGCGUCUGAUUAGCUAGUUGGUGAGGUAACGGCUCACCAAGGCGACGAUCAGUAGGGGAUCUGAGAGGACUAACCCCCCANACUGGUACUGAGACACGGACCAGACUCCUACGGGAGGCAGCAGUAAGGAAUAUUGGUCAAUGGAGGCAACUCUGAACCCAGCCAUGCCGCGUGCAGGAUGACGGCCCUAUGGGUUGUAAACUGCUUUUGUACCAGAGAAAACCUACUCACGUGUGAGUAGCUGAUAGUAUGGUAAGAAUAACGCAUCGGCUAACUUCGUGCCAGCAG
rnacentral:rRNA from 1 species